AUUCAAAACAGCACCAUGUAUGUUGACUGUUGACAGACCUCCAAGUCUCAAAGUGACAACGUCUUUGAAUUUGAUGACAUUGUGCCAACAUGGAUUUUAAUGUCGUGCAGCACACUCAUAAACUAAAACGAUGUGCAAAUUGCACAUUGCACACCGUUAAUUCGCACACUGGACUUAAGAAGACAGUACAGUUCUAGUUUCUUUCAUACCUUAAUAUCAUAGUUAAUAACAUAACGUUGUUGUGAUGUACUCAGGUAUAAUAACAAGAUAAUCAUUGUCUUCAUGGUUCUACCAACUGAACUAGAAGAUCAACUGUGGACUAUGAUGAUAUUUUAAAACACAGUUCAACAUAGUUUCUUUUAGCCAAAAACUCUUUCAUAGUUUCUUUUAAUCUUUUUACCUUUUUCUAAAUUAUUAUAGUAGUGGCAUUUCUUGAUUUCAACUUUAGCACGACACAACUGCAUCUGAAAAGUUUGAAGAGAUACAGAGAGUUGCACAUUUAAGCAUAAUUCUUGGAUACAGGCAGAGUGUCUUGAUAAAAAAAUGGUCAGAUGGCCACAGUAUCUUAAUUGAGACAUAAAUGCUAAUUAAAUGUCCAUGGCAGUAUUGAGAGUAAACUGAAAUUAAUAACCAA